UAAGCGAUAUCGUUGGUCUGACAUCAAUUUAUGUUAAUUGGGAAUAACUCGCUUUGUAUUUAUACCCAACUGAAAGGGCCGCGAGACAAGCGUUUGGGCAGCUCCCUGUUUAUGAAAGAAAAUUCUAAAAUGAGGCUGAAACCAAACAGGGGUGUUGUUUUACUUUUCUGUCUUGGCUUUCUUUGUUUCAGCCAAAUAUGCUGUGUAAGCCUCGAAAUCACGCGAAGACAAGAGAGACAUGGAGAGGAAAAAAAACGAUGAUGUUCGAGUGGGUACCAUUAUGUUCGGCAGAGAUAUUUCUGAUUUUGGCCCAGUGAAAAAUGAGGAUGGCUUUAACAUUCAAGCUGACGCUGCUGAGCUGGUUGGUGGACAAGAUGUCAUUGAUGACUCCAGUUCUUCUAAGGCAGCCUGGGCUAGUAUGCGACCAACUGUGUUAUGUACUAAGGACCUCAUGAAGUUCUCGGCACAAGGCCUAGGAUCCUCUUCACUUCAGCUAGACAGAGCAGGAGGAACACCGCUCAAGGGGGGGGGGAUAUAUGAGGGCGAGAUCAGCCAACCAUCACACUCGGUGCCUUACAUAUAGCCUGUUGUGUGCAUGUACAUGCCCACUGGGUGUACAUGGCUUCUGAACCAGAAUUGGUCCUGGAGAUGAUGCCAAAAAGACCCUGAAGGUGGCAACCAUUUGCUCCAGAUGUUAUGGCAAGGCAAUCCAGUAACCCUUUCUUGCCCUAUGUCAACCCAAGCCUCUCAAUCUCCUAUGGAUCGACCACUUAUCCAUCCAUCAGCUCACACUACUGAAGCUCCAUCUACUAAGUUAAUACCAUUAGGCCAAACCAAUAAAGACACCGGGCCUCAUUU